GCCUUAUUGUUUGUAUUAUGCUUCAAACUGCUGACAAACCUUUUUCUAUCCAGUUUUUAAGACUACUUUUUCUCAUUUUAGCAAACUGAGCAAUUUUUUUACUUAAAACUUGUGCUUGCGAAAAAUACAAUCAGAUAAGCAUCCUGUGCUCCCCCUUCCUGCCUUCCUCCCUUUUUAUUCCCUAUCUUUCCUUUCAUAAAAGGACUCAAUUGACCCUCGAAAGAGUUCAUUGAGGGAACCAUGAAUGCCAACAUGUACUGUGAAAUACUGAAGCAAAGCAUGAUCCCC